rnacentral:tRNA from 2 species
AGGCGCGUAGCUCAGUUGGUUAGAGCGCUACCUUGACAUGGUAGAGGUCACCGGUUCGAAUCCGGUCGUGCCUACCA